rnacentral:lncRNA from 1 species
UUCAGGAUGCCUGUUACAAAGAAAAACUGAAGAAACUUUAAAACUAGAUAAUGGUAACUGAAGAAGUUGAUACAUCGUUAUUGAUGGUUUUAUAUCGAGGCUUCAGUUCUCCAAAUCCCUGUUGGAUGCCUGUUACACAGAAAAACUGAAGAAACUUUGAAACUAGAUGAUGGCAACUGAAGAAGUUGAAACACCGUUAUUCAUGGUGUCAUAUUGAAGCUUCAGUUCUCUAUGUAAAAGUGGAUGAAACACUAAAGAAGCGAAACGAUAAACUUUAAAGCAAAAUUUUGUCAUGCGAUUAUGGUGGCGAUAUCAGAGAACUAAUGGGGCAGAAUUUUACUAUCGUAGAACAG